GAUGAACGCUGGCGGCGUGCUUAACACAUGCAAGUCGAACGGAAAGGCUCCUGCUUGCAGGGGUACUCGAGUGGCGAACGGGUGAGUAACACGUGGGUGAUCUGCCCUGCACUUCGGGAUAAGCCUGGGAAACUGGGUCUAAUACCGGAUAGGACCACAUUUUGGAUGGUGUGGUGGAAAGUUUUUCGGUGUGGGAUGAGCUCGCGGCCUAUCAGCUUGUUGGUGGGGUAAUGGCCUACCAAGGCGUCGACGGGUAGCCGGCCUGAGAGGGUGUACGGCCACAUUGGGACUGAGAUACGGCCCAGACUCCUACGGGAGGCAGCAGUGGGGAAUAUUGCACAAUGGGCGCAAGCCUGAUGCAGCGACGCCGCGUGGGGGAUGACGGCCUUCGGGUUGUAAACUCCUUUCGCUAUGGACGAAGCGCAAGUGACGGUACCUGGAGAAGAAGCACCGGCUAACUACGUG
rnacentral:rRNA from 1 species